UGGUGGAGCAAUUUGUCUGGUUAAUUCCGAUAACGAACGAGACUCUGGCCUAUUAAAUAGUUCGCCGAUUCCGAUCUGUCGGCGUUAACUUCUUAGAGGGACAAGUGGCUUUUAGCCACGCGAGAUUGAGCAAUAACA
rnacentral:rRNA from 1 species